GGGGGGGGGAAGGGGUGCGGAGAACGAGCGCUGAUUGCGUCGGUGGCGCAUGCUGCAGAAGUAAGGGCGGCUCGGGUGGACGUUUACGGUACCGGGACAGAGUCGGAGGGAGAGAGCGAGGGAGCGAGGGAGAAAGAGAGAGAGAGAGAGAGAGAGAGAGAGAGAGAGAGGGGGAGAGGGAGAGGGAGGAUUUUUUUUUUUCAUGGAGACAUCACGAGGUGAAAGCGAACGUAAACACCUUGCGUGAAGGAGUCGGUGGAGCGGACGACUUGGAUUACGGCGCUCCGUGCGCGUCCGCGUUCACUGCAAAUAAAUACAUCCAAACAACGGGCCCCGGGCCGUGUUUUCGGGCUGUUUGCUUCCGGUAGAAGGCCGAGAGCUGAACAACAAACCGGGCAGUUUUCUCUCCCUCUCCCACACACUUUUUUUUUUUGGAAGCCGAACUUUUCGCGGGUGGAAAAUGGGUCUUUGAGAGGUGCUUGGCACGUUUCCCUCCACGCCACAAUGGCAACCGAAACCUUUCUGUUGAACGAGGAACCCACCAGAGGCCCGGGGAUGCCUGAAUGCUUUGUAGUAUCAGAUUCAUACAGGGCGGGGUUACAGUACGCUGCAGCAGCAUGGAGUGAGAGAACCGGGACGGAGAGCGAAAGCGAUGCAGCAGCGCAGCGACUCUAACCCGCGACUCUAGACCGCAGACAUGUACUCCCCGUACUGCUUGACACAGUAUUACCCUACUCACCUUCUAAACAAUGCCUUAGUGGUAAGUCCUAUUUAGUCCC